rnacentral:rRNA from 1 species
UACGUAGGGUGCAAGCGUUGUCCGGAAUUAUUGGGCGUAAAGAGCUCGUAGGCGGUUUGUCGCGUCUGCUGUGAAAACUCGGGGCUUAACCCCGGGCCUGCAGUGGGUACGGGCAGACUAGAGUGCGGUAGGGGAGACUGGAAUUCCUGGUGUAGCGGUGAAAUGCGCAGAUAUCAGGAGGAACACCGGUGGCGAAGGCGGGUCUCUGGGCCGUAACUGACGCUGAGGCUCGAAAGCGUGGGGAGCAAACAGG